CCUACGGGGGGCAGCAGUGAGGAAUAUUGGUCAAUGGUCGGGAGACUGAACCAGCCAAGCCGCGUGAGGGAGGAAGGUACAGAGUAUCGUAAACCUCUUUUGUCAGGGAACAAAGACUGGGACGCGUCCCCGGAUGAGUGUACCUGAAGAAAAAGCAUCGGCUAACUCAGUGCCAACAGCCGCGGUAAUACGGGGGAUGCGAGCGUUAUCCGGAUUUAUUGGGUUAAAGGGGUGCGCAGGCGGUCUGUUAAGUCAGCGGUAAACGCCCGGGGCUCAACCCCGGCCCGCCGUUGAAACUGGCAGUCUCGAGUUGGAGAGAAGUAUGCGGAAUGCGCGGUGUAGCGGUGAAAUGCAUAGAUAUCGCGCAGAACUCCGAUUGCGAAGGCAGCAUGCCGGCUCCACACUGACGCUGAGGCACGAAAGCGUGGGUAUCGAACAGGAUUAGAUACCCGAGUAGUC
rnacentral:rRNA from 1 species